rnacentral:rRNA from 1 species
GACGUAGGGCGCAAGCGUUGUCCGGAUUUAUUGGGCGUAAAGAGCUCGUAGGCGGUUCAUUGCGUCUCGGUGAAAUUCCACAGCUCAACUGUGGUAUUGCCGACGAUACGGGUGGGCUGGAGUUCGGUAGGGGAGAGUGGAAUUCCUGGUGUAGCGGUGAAAUGCGCAGAUAUCAGGAAGAACACCCGUGGCUAAGGCGGCUCUCUAGUACGGUACUGACGCUGAGACGCGAAAGCGUGGGGAGCGAACAGG